rnacentral:rRNA from 1 species
UACGGAGGGUGCAAGCGUUAUCCGGAUUUACUGGGUUUAAAGGGUGCGCAGGCGGAUAUGUAAGUCAGUGGUGAAAUCUUCCCGCUUAACGGGAAAACUGCCAUUGAUACUAUAUAUCUUGAAUGCUGUGGAGGUAAGCAGAAUAUGUCAUGUAGCGGUGAAAUGCUUAGAGAUGACAUAGAAUACCUAUUGCGAAGGCAGCUUACUACGCAGAUAUUGACACUGAGGCACGAAAGCGUGGGGAUCAAACAGG